AUGCAGUCGAACGAUGAACCACUUCGGUGGGGAUUAGUGGCGAACGGGUGAGUAACACGUGGGCAAUCUGCCCUGCACUCUGGGACAAGCCCUGGAAACGGGGUCUAAUACCGGAUACUGACCCUCGCAGGCAUCUGCGAGGUUCGAAAGCUCCGGCGGUGCAGGAUGAGCCCGCGGCCUAUCAGCUUGUUGGUGAGGUAAUGGCUCACCAAGGCGACGACGGGUAGCCGGCCUGAGAGGGCGACCGGCCACACUGGGACUGAGACACGGCCCAGACUCCUACGGGAGGCAGCAGUGGGGAAUAUUGCACAAUGGGCGAAAGCCUGAUGCAGCGACGCCGCGUGAGGGAUGACGGCCUUCGGGUUGUAAACCUCUUUCAGCAGGGAAGAAGCGAAAGUGACGGUACCUGCAGAAGAAGCGCCGGCUAACUACGUGCCAGCAGCCGCGGUAAUACGUAGGGCGCAAGCGUUGUCCGGAAUUAUUGGGCGUAAAGAGCUCGUAGGCGGCUUGUCGCGUCGGUUGUGAAAGCCCGGGGCUUAACCCCGGGUCUGCAGUCGAUACGGGCAGGCUAGAGUUCGGUAGGGGAGAUCGGAAUUCCUGGUGUAGCGGUGAAAUGCGCAGAUAUCAGAGAACACCGGUGGCGAAGGGGAUCUCUGGGCCGAUACUGACGCUGAG
rnacentral:rRNA from 1 species